AAAUGUGCUCUCCACAGCAUUGUUGUGAAAGUCGCGAAUGCGUCACAGCAUUGCGUCAGGUUAAGAUUGAUGGAUUUGCAAACUGUAGUCACGGCGGUGAAAUUCUGCACGAGGAAGUCGAUGGGGCAAACUAUACGAUACCAAUGGGGAGAUGAAAUGGUACAUACUGAUUGAUCUUGAAGGUGCACGGAAGAAUAUUGUAUACACUUACAUUACAAUCAGGGAACGGGUUCACAAGGGUAUCAUCUACUGAACAGUUGUCGUUAGUUAAAGUUCGAUGAAUGGGAGAAGAGAGUAACGUCCAACACUCCGUUCUACUCUCAUUACCAUUCUACCAGUCACCUACAGUUUUCCUGCGAUGGUUUUGCUUCAGAGAAUUAAAGAGUUGAGCCCGUGUCACAGGAGCAUAUGGAGGGUUUACUAGGUGGAAAAAUGACGAGGUUUGCUGAGGAUAGUGUUCCAACUGUGGAAGGUCGCACUACUGAUUCAAAGUUCUAUGUUGUGCAAAGUGGUGUCUUCCGGGGGAUCUUCACUUCUUGGGAUGCUUGUGAACCAGUAGUGAAGGGAUAUAGUGGUGCUAGUUUUAUCAGGAGGGACCUUGGUCAAGUAGUGUAAUACACCUUCAGGAGUAAUAUCAAGAGGGAUCUUGGUCAAGUAGUGUAAUACACCUUCAGGAGUAAUAUCAGGAGGGACCUUGGUCAAGUAGUGUAAUACACCUUCAGGAGUAAUAUCAGGAGGGACCUUGGUCAAGUAGUGUAAUACACCUUCAGGAGUAAUAUCAGGAGGGAUCUUGGUCAAGUAGUGUAAUACACCUUCAGGAGUAAUAUCAGGAGGGACCUUGGUCAAGUAGUGUAAUACACCUUCAGGAGUAAUAUCAGGAGGGACCUUGGUCAAGUAGUGUAAUUUGCCGUAUCCUUCUGAAGGCGGGUUGCUGUAUCCUUCUGAAGGGGGGUGGCUGUAUCCUUCUGAAGGCGGGUAAGUUUGGGGGUCGGAACAUGGGCCGUUAUAUGAGGAAGAGAGUAGUCAUCGAUGAUAGACUGUGCAUACUCGGCUUGAUGGAGAAAGAUCUCGGUGGUGGUCUGAAGGAAUUGCACUGCCAAAAAUUUGUGCAUUAGGCCUAAGUCGACCAUUUCGAAUUAAGAAUGAAGCAAUUUCUUGAGUGAAGAAAUAAUUGCAAGAUUCGAACCUGUGAUAAGGAGGUUGUCAACGUAGAUGAUGAGGAGGACAGCGGAGGUGUUCGUGCGGGUGUAAUACACGUUCGGGUCGGCCGUGGUUCUAGACAUGCCAUGCGUUCGGAGGUAGGAGUCUAUGCGGCUGUACCACGCUCUAGGGGGACUGUUUUUGCCCGUAGAGUGAGCGGUUCAGCUUGCAUACGAGGUGGUUAGUGGCAGGAGUUGCGCGUCCAGGAGGCUGGGUCAUGAAGACAUCGACGUGUAGGGUGUCGUUUAAGAAUGCGAUAGCCACGUCCACAUGAAACUUGGCCAAGCAUUUCGUGCGGCUGACCUAGUUACAAGACGAAUGAAUGCCCGGAGGUAGAGGAAUGAGAUCCCAUGUGUGAUUUUUUUGGAUAGAGUGUAGUUCGAAUUGCAUGGUCGAGAUCCAUCGUGGAUCGGUCCGAGCUUGAGCGUAAGUAAGUUGUUCGCCAGCUUCUUCUAUUACACCAAUAAAUGAGUCAACUAGAUCGAUGCAAAUGUAGCUAUCGUGGGAGUGUGGAAGGACGCGGAUCCGGCUUGAACUGUGUACAAAGGAUGGAGCGGUAGGGGUAGUUACCGAAACCGAUGGCUUUGGAGGUGAAGAAAGCUCGGGUAGAUAUGAUGGCGGUAGUGGUGACUGGGUACGAUCUCGAAGAGCGGAAAUAGAGGGCGACAGUAGACUUGGCGUUGAUGACGAGGGCAGUGUGGGCUGGUGAGUCGGAUGAAGUUGAGGUCCGCUGGUCUGGACUGUAAUAUCAUUAUUAUCUACAGAAGUAGUUUGCGAGACGAGAUCGGGGAUGUGCAGUCUGUGGUUUUCUAAAAACUGGACGUCCUUCGACAUGAGAACCGUGUUUGUAGCCGGGUCGUAGCACUGGUAACCUUUGACAUGUGCAUCAAAGCUUAAGUGGAGGCAAGGCCAAGAGCGGUCACCGAGUUUACUGCUGCCUGGCACCGUAUUGUGCACAUAGGCGGUUGACCUGAAGAUUCGAAGUUUGUAAAUGUCAGGUAUCUUGUUCGGUCAUGACUUUGUUGAGAAAAUGUUGAGCAGAAGGCAGGCCGCCUUUGCUGCUUCUGCCCAAAGUGUGGAAGGCAUGUCAACAUGAUGUAGUAUACAUCGGACGAUAUCAAGGAUGCUGUGGUUGCGCCUUUUCGCCACUCCAUUAUGAUAGGAGGUGUGUGGUUGGGUCAACAGCCGCCGGAUUCCAUGACUCAGGCAAUAGAUGGUGAAACGGUGGAAAUUGAAUUUCCUACCAUUGUCGGAUCUGAGCGAUUUCAGGCGGUUUUGGGCAUUGUUUUCAACCAAUCUGUGAAAGAAUCUGAACUUUUCAAAGCACAUGUCUUUGGAUAGGAGGAAGUAGAUCCAAGUUUUUUGCAAAUAAUCAUCAAUAAAAGUAAGGAAAUAUUGGGCCCCACCGAGAGAUCUGAUUCUAAACGGGCCUGUGACGUCAGUGUGGACGAGUUGAAGAGGCCUGGUAGAUGCGGUUGUGCAGAUUUUUGGAAUCUUUUUUUUGGUCUGCUUUCCUGUGAGACAGCUAAUGCAAGGGAAGUUCGGCACAUGGAAGCUUGGUAAUCCUUUUAUUGCUUUGGAUUCAAUCAUUCUGCGCAUCCCUUGGUAAUUGCAGUGACCUGGCCGCUUAUGCCAGAGUGUGGCUAGAGGUGACGUAUCAGCCAAGCAGCUAAGUGCUUCAUCAUGAGAUGGUUUCUCCGAUGAGCCUAUAUAAAUCGUUCCGCUUCUCUCGUGUUGCUGUAGCAACGGUGUUCCCUAAGGAGUCCUUGAUGCAACAUUGGAGGUUGCGAAACUCAAAUAAAAAAUCCCUAUCUGUGAGAUAGCCAACGGACAACAAAUUUUUUUUGUAUGCGAGGGAAGUAGAAAACAUGACAAAUCUAGUGAAUUUCUUCGGUAGGGAGUUUAAUUGAACAUUGCCAUGCCCAACACAUUGUGCCCUUGUUCUCCAGCGGAGGUGACUCUGGUACCCUUACUUGGUUUUAAUGAUGAAAAAAUUGACUUGUCCCCUAA